ensembl:lincRNA
CUCAGCUCCAAAGCAGAAGCGUUUGUUACCCUGGGUAGGGCGCCUUAAAGAUUCCUCGAGUUUCCUGUCUACGGAGGCCAGAGGUUUGGGCAUCCGCACAGGUCGAGCCUCCUUGUGCCCCUACACUCGGGUUGCAAAGGCCGGCAGCAUCACUGCUGUAUAUUCCUGAUCGCUAAGAAGCACAUCCUGUAAGCCUCUGCGCCAGAACGGGUUGUCGUCGGGUGCUUCGGGUUCAGGUGAGGCACCCUACCCGAGUUUUGCGCCCAGGGAUUGGGGACCUUCUGUCCGGGGCUGGGCCAGGGAGGGCCGGGCAGGUGCAGCACCCGGGCGCGCGCCUCCUCCCGCCGCGCACUGAGCAUGCUCAGCCCGGCUGCGCGCGGGCUCCCGCCCUCCCCGUGUCUCUCCUCGGCUCCACGCGUCUCCGCCUCCUUGAGGCUGAGGAGCCGGCUGCUUGAACUCUGCCGCGCCGGGUUUUUUGAGCUGCCGGGAGCGCUGGGAGCGAGGAGAGCGCGGCACCAGACGGAGCACCGGGUUCAACACCGGGAUUGGUCGCAAGUGGGAAGCUUUCGCCACUACAGCGGGACCCUCGGGCUCUGCCGACGCCGUUUCCUGGGAGGCUGUAGCGGGCGCUGCGCUCAGGUGCGGAGCACAUUUCAAUUCAGAUUAGCCACAUUUUGGAAAUGACAGAGUAUGACUUCCAUGACUAAAUCAUUAAAGACGUUGGAGCUUUUGCCUAGUUCUCUCUUGGCUAAGCCAGAAGUGAUGUGGAACCUUAAGGAUGCUUAUGCAGGCCCAUGGAGGUUUCCAUAGGAUGGAGAACUAAGACAUGCUACCAAAGCCGGCAUCAACUUCCUGGCCAUGUGAGUGAAUCAUCUUUUUAUUUUACUUUAUUUUAUUUUAUUUAUUUAUUUGAGAGAGAGAGAGA